rnacentral:ncRNA from 1 species
GUAGAUAAUUUGUGAAGGCUCCUUGAAACAGUAAUGUUUCAAAGGCAAAUGGGCUUAAUUGCAAGGACAUCUAAUAAAAUUUCUCCUGUUUAUUAGAUCAUUUGCAGCGAAGUUUGAUUCGGUAUACAUUAUAUUCUUAAUAUAUAUUAUAUAUUAUUAAUAUAAGGGAAUCAAGAACGUUCAACGACUAAUGAGUGAGUAGUACCAACAAUAAGCUCGACACGAAUGCCCUACAACCAAACAAGGACUUGUUUGGUUGAAGACAUAGUCUAAACAUCUAGGUAACAGAUGA